rnacentral:rRNA from 1 species
UAAUUUAUUUUAUUAAUAUUUUUUUUAAUUAUUAUAAGAUUUAAAAAAAUAAUUUAUUUUGGAUUAUGUUUUAGUUUUUAAUUUAAAAAAAUUUGUAGAUUUAUAGUUUAUUAGUAUUGUGAAAGAAUUUAAUUAAAUUUAAUAAAGAAUUUUUUUUAGUACCUUUUGUAUCAGGGUUAAUUAAAAUUUUUAAUUUAUAUUUUAAAUUCUCAAAAUUUAUAGAGUUAAUUUUAUUUUUAAGUUAUUGUAUUAAAAAUAUUUAUAAAAUAAUUUUAGUUUAGAAAUUUAAUUCGUUAUAAUAUAUUUAGUUAUUUAAGAUUUAAAUUUAAUUUAAAAUUUUGAAAGUUUAAUUAAUUUUUUUUAAUUUAAUUUUAAAUUUAAAUUAUUUUAGGGAUAAGCUUAAAAUUUUUAUAAAAUAAUUUUUUUUUAAUUAAUAAAUUUUAGGAUUAGAAAUUUUUAUUUGAAGUUUGUAAAAUUUAUUAUUUGUUUAAUUUUAAUUUAUAUAAUUUUAUUUAUUUUAUAAUAUAAAUUUUAUAAAUUAUUUUUUAUUUAUAGUAAUAAUGAUUAAAUUAGAUAAUUGUUAUUUAUAAAUUAUGAAUUCGGCAAUUUUUAUUUUCAUCUGUUUAACAAAAACAUUGUAUUAAGUUUAAUUUAAUAUAGAAUCUGCUCAAUGAUUAUUAAUUAAAUAGCUGCAGUAUUUUGACUGUGCAAAGGUAGCAUAAUAAUUAGUCUUUUAAUUGAGGACUUGUAUGAAAGAUUUGAUGAAAAAUAAACUUUAUUAUUUAUAUUAUUAAAAUUUUAUUUUUAAGUAAAAAGGCUUAAAUUUUUUUAAGGGACGAUAAGACCCUAUAAAACUUUAUAAAUUUAAUUUUUUUAAAUUUUUGGUUUAUAAAUAAAUUUAAAAUUUUAAAUUUAUUUUAUUGGGGUGAUAAAAAAAAUAAUUAACUUUUUUUAAAAAUAAACAUUAAUUAAUGAUUUUUUGAAUUAAAAUUUUUAAUUAUAAGAAAAAGUUACUUUAGGGAUAUACAGCGGUAAUUAAUUUUUAAAGUUCAAAUUUGAAAAUUAGAUUGCGACCUCUCGAUGUUGAAUUAAGAUUAAUCUUAGGUGCAAAAUUUUAAGAUUUAGGUCUGUUCGACCUUUAAAUUCUUACAUGAUUUGAGUUCAAACCGGUGUAAGCCAGGUUGGUUUCUAUCUUUAAAUUUUUAUUUUUAUUUUAGUACGAAAGGAUUAAGUAAAAAAAUUAAAUUUUUUUAAAAAAAUAAUAUUAUUUUG